GCCUGUAGAAUGAGCCCUAGCAUCUUCUGGAUUUGAUGCUUUGCCUCAUGGGUCUUCAGUAUACAUUAUAGCAAAUGUGUCCUUCAGGGAAGGACAUUGGGGCUGGCUAGGGUUUGCCUACACAGUUUGCUUUUUUGAAGGCUUUGUCCUGUCAAAGCUUCCUAGGAGGAGGUAAAUUCGUUCUAAACUUUCUGUUAAGAAGAAAAAACUCCACAGUUACUUGCCACUAGAUGUCAGAAAAACCACAUGGUUCAGCUAGAGUAGAAGAUCUAACUGAGGGGUUUUGUUGGCUGUUUAAGCACUUGCAUAACGCUUUGGAUGGGUCCCAAAGAAAACAAUUAGAAAUUUGAGUUUAUUUUUGUUUGCAUGAAAUAGUAAAUAUGCCAUUGGGUCAGACUCUCCUCUUAUUGCCCCCAGAGAAAAUUUGAAAUAAACUUUUUGUCAAGAGUUAUACCAUCCUGGAAAAUGGAACCGCUUUUACUCUCGUCAGCAAAACCUUCUCAUCUAGAGUGCUGUGGUUUUCUAUUCUCUAUAUAAAGCUGGUCUCUGAAUUUUAGGCAACUCUACCGGAAAUGUGGUGGAAGGUUGCUGCUGGUGGGAAGACUGAGAGCAGCCCUAGCUCAGAUCAGAACUGCACUGAGAGGAUAUUUUCAAACUGUGACAGAAACUAUAACCUAGAGGUCUACAUACUCAACCAUGAGAGCUCAUAAAUGCUGGUUCAUACCAUUGGGAUAAUACCUUAUGCUUGAAGUCAGAGGCUUUGCUCAAGAGGCUGUGCCCAUUGAUAGAAACAAGUGGUUAGAAGUGUCUAUGAAGGAGUCAUUACAAUUUUUUUUUUUGAUGAUGCUAUGGCUGAUUUUGAUUUAAAAAGAAGCCAUGAGAAAGCAGGGUAGUAUUUUUCUUAGCCUUCCACUACUGACCUUCAUUUUCUUUAAAGCAUUCCUUUGAAAUAAACAGAAUGUGGUUUUGUUUUCUCUGAAGAUAAUUUAGGAGUAUUAGUAAAGAUUUGUUUGAUAUUUUGAUAUUAGCAAUUUGGUAUUAAAUUGCAUGAGGUAAUUUUACUUUUAAUGCCAAAGGUUCAUGUAUUUAUCUUCAUCAUGUCUACAAGCUGGAUAGUAAUUUUUGCUAUGGGCACAAGCAACAUGUCAACAGCCAGAUAAUCCAUUUCAGAAAAACAGAUUUUCUGACCUUAUUUUCACAAGAAUAUAGAUCUGCUCAGCUUCUUCUAUUAAACAGAAGCCAAAGUUGUGGAGGAAAUAGCUAGCAGUUUAGCAUUUUAAAAUAUUAGAUUAUGCUAAUCUAAAGUCAGUCUACCUCAAAAUAGGAAUAAAUCACAACAUAUAAUUUUGAAAAAAUGGCAGAUCCUGAUUAAUUCUAGAGUAAUGUUUCUCCUCAGCGGUAUCAAACCUGGGUUCCUUAAGUCUCUCGUUGAAAACACUGAGAUAUGUAAAGAAAAAUAACAGGUAAAAUGCACCACAGUUUCUCAAAAUGAAAAUCUCCGAAGAAUGGCUCAAAGGCAUUUCAAACCUCUGUAAGGAGGAAAAACCACCAGCCACUCUGGACUGAAUACUUGUGUUUUAAACUUAUAAAUGGGAUUGCAAGGUGAUAAAAUCUGCAGGGUGAUUUUUAGACAGGAAGCUGAAAUUCUUGCAUCUGAAGCACUAAAAUGUGACAACCAUUGCAUGUAUUUUUAAAACAGGUGUGAAAAAUCACAGCUAUCUGCUUUCAAUAAAGAAAGAGUAGGAAAUCCACAAUAAAGCAAUAGACCCAUAAACUUUAAAAUAUGCACAUGCAGCAGGUGCUGAUAUGUACAACAAUAUUUGAAUGCAAUAAAAUGUCUGACUAUUGUCCAAAAAGAACUGCAGCCAAGAUACGGCAUUUGGCUAUAUUCUGCCCUUGACUAGAAUUAGUUCAGAUAUCCAAAGCUAGCAUGUAUUAGAUAAAGAGAGGAAAUUUCUUUAGGAAAGACAAUGGGAAAUGUGUUCUGGUUCAAGUCACUUGCUUUACUCUGUUGAGAGGUCUCUAUUGUUUUGGGAGUUUUUAGCUCUUUUUUUCCUAAUGGAUGAUUCAUUUGAAAUGUGAAUUUUUCACCCUUUCAUUCCCAAAAUUUUUGUGACUAUGACUAGCUCCCAAAGAU
ensembl:lncRNA